rnacentral:rRNA from 1 species
CCUACGGGGGGCAGCAGUGGGGAAUAUUGGACAAUGGGCGAAAGCCUGAUCCAGCCAUGCCGCGUGUGUGAAGAAGGCCUUCGGGUUGUAAAGCACUUUCAGUGGGGAAGAAAGCCUUGGGGCUAAUACCCUCGAGGAAGGACAUCACCCACAGAAGAAGCACCGGCUAACUCCGUGCCAGCAUCCGCGGUAAUACGGAGGGUGCGAGCGUUAAUCGGAAUUACUGGGCGUAAAGCGCGCGUAGGCGGUCUGAUAAGCCGGUUGUGAAAGCCCCGGGCUCAACCUGGGAACGGCAUCCGGAACUGUCAGGCUAGAGUGCAGGAGAGGAAGGUAGAAUUCCCGGUGUAGCGGUGAAAUGCGUAGAGAUCGGGAGGAAUACCAGUGGCGAAGGCGGCCUUCUGGACUGACACUGACGCUGAGGUGCGAAAGCGUGGGUAGCAAACAGGAUUAGAUACCCCAGUAGUC